AACUAUCAGCUUAGGCUUUUAGUUGAGAUGGAGCACAUGCUUCAAUUUGGUAUCAGAGCCAUGGGUUCGAAUCUCAACUAGGAAACCUAUGGUCUGCAGACCACUUGCCUUUCUGAUGCUUCAUGGUUUAAGCGUUUGUGUGUGCCCUUAUCUGUUUUAUUUGUUUGUAUUUUGUGCCUGUAUUCAUGGGUGUCUACCCUUGGGAUCGUUUGAGUUCAGAAACUAUGUUCUUUAACGUAACUCAUCUAUUGGCAUGCUAGCGUUUGAGUUUUGAACUUUCUGGACUUAUUGAUGGAUUGAAUGGUAAUGUACCAAAGACUCGAUUGCCAUUUGCCAUCACGGUUCCUUUCAUUUGCCUCGAAUCUAGACAGUUGCCUAUGGUUUACUUUGAAUGUUCUUUCCCAACUUAGGUAUCUUAUUGGUUUAAAGCAACAUGUGCUUACUAAUCCUUAGACGUUAAAAUCUAGGUACUUUCAAAUGCCGGAUAUGAAAAUUAGGGCAAGCAAUAUAGAAUUGAUGC